AGGUCGCACUGUCUUUCCCAAUCCCAAACCAGAAAGCAAGUAAAACUUGGUAAAAGAAGAAAUUCCCACAAUCUGUUUCAGCUUGCUCUCUCUCUCUCUCUCUCUCUCUGAUGGCGAUACCCGUUUACUCUUUCUGGUUUUAUUUUAGUGGUGGUGUUGUUGCCUUUUCGAUCUGGCUGCUCUGACUGGUUUCAUUUGGCCGCGAUUCCAAACUUGGAGUAAAUGAUAAAACAAAAGGCUUUUGUUUUGCCACCAAAACUCGGAAAUUCGACAUCAAAUUUCUCUAGAAGUUCUCCGAGAAUCAAUAUGCAUGGAGAAUUUACUUUGCUGGCCUCAAUGUUAUUUUAUCAUGGACCAAGGAAGAGUCACAACACCUAGUAUUGUGGGAUUCUCGGUGUCUUGAAAAUUCAAAUCAAGGUUAACUGAAGAAGGCUUAUAAAGGAACUGCUAUAAUGAGUCAUCCUACAAAUGUGA